ACUUUCUAUCGCCUACUUCUAAGGAUAGAUAGAGAGAGUGACUUUAUGAAAUUCUCUCCCUUCUAAAGCAGCGCAAGUCGGCCCCCCCAGAACAAAGCCCCUACUCCCGAGAGGUAUAAAUGACUCGACUAAAAGGAGAGGUGCCCAACUCUUCCUUCUUUGUCUGAUUCGAGGGGGGUCCUGUUGAACUGUUAAUAAUCAGAAGAAAAUUUUAUUGUGUUUUUGAAAAAUAAACUUAAUUAGAUUCACUACUUGGGCCCUAGCUUCUCGAUGUUAAUUCCGUAAUGAGGCUCUUCUUCGAUUAGAUUGAGAUCUG
rnacentral:lncRNA from 1 species